rnacentral:rRNA from 1 species
CCUAACACAUGCAAGUCGAACGAGAAAGGGUAGCAAUACCUGAGUAAAGUGGCGCACGGGUGAGUAACACGUGACUAACCUACCCUGGAGUGGGGGAUAACUAAGAGAAAUCUUGGCUAAUACCGCAUAAUACCUACGGGUCAAAGGAGCAAUUCGCUUCAGGAGGGGGUCGCGGCCGAUUAGUUAGUUGGCGGGGUAAUGGCCCACCAAGACAGUGAUCGGUAUCCGGCCUGAGAGGGCGCACGGACACACUGGAACUGAAACACGGUCCAGACUCCUACGGGAGGCAGCAGUGGGGAAUUUUGCGCAAUGGGGGAAACCCUGACGCAGCAACGCCGCGUGGAGGAUGAAGUACUUCGGUACGUAAACUCCUUUCGAUCGGGACGAUAAUGACGGUACCGGAAGAAGAAGCCCCGGCUAACUUCGUGCCAGCAGCCGCGGUAAUACGAGGGGGGCGAGCGUUGUUCGGAAUUAUUGGGCGUAAAGGGUGCGUAGGCGGUUUGGUAAGUCUUAUGUGAAAUCUAUGGGCUCAACUCAUAGACUGCAUGAGAAACUGC